UGGGGAAUAUUGGACAAUGGGCGCAAGCCUGAUCCAGCCAUGCCGCGUGAGUGACGAAGGUCUUCGGAUUGUAAAACUCUUUUGGCGGGGACGAUAAUGACGGUACCCGCAGAAUAAGCCCCGGCUAACUUCGUGCCAGCAGCCGCGGUAAUACGAAGGGGGCUAGCGUUGUUCGGAAUCACUGGGCGUAAAGCGCACGUAGGCGGAUGUGCCAGUCAGGGGUGAAAUCCCGGAGCUCAACUCCGGAACUGCCUCUGAUACAGCACGUCUUGAGUUCGAGAGAGGUGGGUGGAAUUCCUAGUGUAGAGGUGAAAUUCGUAGAUAUUAGGAAGAACACCGGUGGCGAAGGCGGCCCACUGGCUCGAUACUGACGCUGAGGUGCGAAAGCGUGGGGAGCAAACAGGAUUAGAUACCCACGUAGUCCCUGAGCGGGCUGGCAAGGCGCAU
rnacentral:rRNA from 1 species